rnacentral:lncRNA from 1 species
CCCCCCCAAGCCUAGAGAUCGUCUCCAGCCUCAGCAUAAAGAUAGCCCACAUGCCACCAGUGCUUCGUCAAAAACAUCCAAAUUUCCACCAACAGCCCGUGUCCAGCCUCAACAAAAGCACAGACGCCUGCUAGAAAUGUAUCAUCGACCAGAUCCAAACUCCUCGCAACAGGGAGUGCGCAUAAGCUUCGGCCACAGAAGGUCAGGCAAUACAAUUGAAUGACAUGCCCUCUCAGUGCAACAUCCGCCUAAUAACACGCCCAAGCUUAGAGAUCAACUCCAGCCUUAACAUAAGCAUGCGCCCGUGCAAGGUUUGCAUCGUCGGUAGGAUGCGAACUCCCGUGCUAAGAACUUUCCGCCACACCACCUCAAGCAAUACAACCGAAUGACAUUGCCCUCAGAGUGCAACAUCCGAUCAUUAGCACGUUGGAGCACAGCGCUCAUCUCCAGCCUCAACACAAGCACAAGCCCAUGCUAGACAUGUAUCAUCGACCAGAUCCAAACUCCUCGCAACAGGGAAUGCGCAUAAGCUUCCGCCACACAAGGUCAGGCAAUACAAUUGAAUGACAUGCCCUCUCAGUGCAACACCCGCCUAAUAACACGCCCAAGCUCAGAGAUCAUCUCCAGCCUUAACAUAAGCAUGUGCCCGAGCAAGAUCUGCAUCGUCGGCAGGAUACAAACUCCGUGCAAAGAGCUUCCGUCACACCACCUCAGGCAAUACAAUUGAAUGACAUGCCCUCAUAAUGCAACAUCAUCAGCCCUAUAUGACGCCCGAGCAUGUAGCUCAUCUCCAGCCUCAACAUAAGCACAAGCCCAAGCUAGACAUGUAUCAUCGACCGGAUCCAAACUCCUUGCAACAGGGAGUGCGCAUAAGCUUCUGCGACACGAGGUCAAGCAAUACAAUUGAAUGACAUGCCCUCUCAGUGCAACAUCUGCCUAAUAACACGCCCAAGCUUAGAGCUUCUCUCCAGCCUUAACAUAAGCAUGCGCGGGUGCAAGAUUU